UAGGGAAUCUUCGGCAAUGGACGAAAGUCUGACCGAGCAACGCCGCGUGAGUGAAGAAGGUUUUCGGAUCGUAAAACUCUGUUGUUAGAGAAGAACAAGGACGUUAGUAACUGAACGUCCCCUGACGGUAUCUAACCAGAAAGCCACGGCUAACUACGUGCCAGCAGCCGCGGUAAUACGUAGGUGGCAAGCGUUGUCCGGAUUUAUUGGGCGUAAAGCGAGCGCAGGCGGUUUCUUAAGUCUGAUGUGAAAGCCCCCGGCUCAACAGGGGAGGGUCAUUGGAAACGGGGAGACUUGAGUGCAGAAGAGGAGAGUGGAAUUCCAUGUGUAGCGGUGAAAUGCGUAGAUAUAUGGAGGAACACCAGUGGCGAAGGAGGCGCUCUAGUCUGUAACUGACGCUGAGGCUCGAAAGCGUGGGAAGCAAACAGG
rnacentral:rRNA from 1 species